rnacentral:rRNA from 1 species
AUAAUAAUUUGUUUUUUAAAUAAAAACUAGUAUGAAUGGCUUCACAUUUUCUAACUGUCUCUCUUUAUUUUCUUUUAAAUUUCUACUUCCGUGAAGAAGCGGAAAUUAAUGUGUUAGACGAGAAGACCCUGUCGAGCUUUAUCUAAAAUAAGAUAUAUUAUUAAUCUUAUUAAAGAUUUGGUUGGGGCAACCAUGGAGAAAAUUAAACCUCCAGAAAUAUAAGAUGAAUAAUAAUUCUCUUAAAAAGAAUUUGAACCAAUUUUUUUGGUAUUCAGAAAUAGUUACCGCAGGGAUAACAGCGUAAUCUUCUUUAAGAGCCCAUAUUGACA